rnacentral:rRNA from 1 species
UGGGGAAUUUUGGACAAUGGGCGCAAGCCUGAUCCAGCCAUGCCGCGUGUGUGAAGAAGGCCUUCGGGUUGUAAAGCACUUUCAGACGGAACGAAAUCGCGCGGUUGAACAUUCCGCGUGGAUGACGGUACCGUAAGAAGAAGCACCGGCUAACUACGUGCCAGCAGCCGCGGUAAUACGUAGGGUGCGAGCGUUAAUCGGAAUUACUGGGCGUAAAGGGUGCGCAGGCGGCCCCGCAUGUCAGGCGUGAAAUCCCUCGGCUUAACCGGGGAACUGCGUCUGAUACUGGAUGGCUUGAGGUUGGGAGAGGGAUGCGGAAUUCCAGGUGUAGCGGUGAAAUGCGUAGAUAUCUGGAGGAACACCGGUGGCGAAGGCGACAUCCUGGACCAAUUCUGACGCUGAGGAGCGAAAGCCAGGGGAGCAAACGGGAUUAGAUACCCCCGUAGUCCCUGAGCGGGCUGGCAAGGCGCAU